rnacentral:rRNA from 1 species
GAUGAACGCUGACAGCAUGCUUAACACAUGCAAGUCAACUUGAACUUCGGUUUGGGUGGCGGACGGGUGAGUAACGCGUAAAGAACUUGCCUCACAGAUAGGGACAACAUUUGGAAACGAAUGCUAAUACCUGAUAUUAUGAUUAUAUGGCAUCGUAUAAUUAUGAAAGCUAUAUGCGCUGUGAGAGAGCUUUGCGUCCCAUUAGCUAGUUGGAGAGGUAACGGCUCACCAAGGCGAUGAUGGGUAGCCGGCCUGAGAGGGUGAUCGGCCACAAGGGGACUGAGACACGGCCCUUACUCCUACGGGAGGCAGCAGUGGGGAAUAUUGGACAAUGGACCAAGAGUCUGAUCCAGCAAUUCUGUGUGCACGAUGAAGUUUUUCGGAAUGUAAAGUGCUUUCAGUUGGGAAGAAAAAAAUGACGGUACCAACAGAAGAAGUGACGGCUAAAUACGUG